rnacentral:lncRNA from 1 species
CUAGCACGGAGUAAGAGGCUACAGAGAAACCGGAGAUGGUGGGAAGGAUCACUCGUUCAAGAGCUAAGGAGAUGGCCAAGGAAGCACACAAACUCAUAGCUAACGAGUCAUUCAACCUACCAAGGAUCCAAGUCUUCAACAUGUCUAACCUGAAGACUUCACCCGGUGAUGAUGACUAGGUAACUUAGGUGAGAAGUUUGUACUCUUUUUCCCAUAGCUGAG